GAAGUCCGCCAGACCGUCGCUGCCCCCGCCUCGUGCGGGGGGAGAGGAAAGUCCGGGCUCCGCAGAGCAGGAUGCCGGGUAACGCCCGGCCGCAGCAGCCGCGGCUUCGCCGCCGCGGUCAAGGCGAGGAACAGGGCCACAGAGACGAGUCGCCCCGGGUCACACCGGGGCGGGUGAAACGCGGCAACCUCCAUCCGGAGCAACGCCAAGUAGGCGGACCAUGACGCUGCUCGCGUCGUCCGCGGGUAGGCGGCUCGAGCCCACCGGCAACGGUGGGCCUAGAGGAAUGACGGCCAUAGCGCCCUUUCGGGGGCGCCGUAACAGAACCCGGCUUACCGGCGGACUUCGACU
rnacentral:RNase_P_RNA from 1 species